GAGGGUAUAGCUCAGUGGUAAAGCUCAUGCUUAGCAUGCAUGAGGUCCUGGGUUCAAUCUCCAGUACCGCCA
rnacentral:tRNA from 1 species